rnacentral:rRNA from 1 species
UUGGAGGGCAAGUCUGGUGCCCGCAGCCGCGGUAAUUCCAGCUCCAAUAGCGUAUAUUAAAGUUGUUGCAGUUAAAUAGCUCGUAGUUGAAUUUCGGGAUCAGAUUGUCGGUCGUGCCUCGGUACGCACUGGCAUUAUUGGUUCCUACCUUCUGAAGAACCGCGAUGUCAUUAAUUUGGUGUCGUGGGGAAUCAGGACUGUUACUUUGAAAAAAUUAGAGUGUUUAAAGCAGGC